AUUUAAAAUCUGGCGUCUUUCAGGCGUCCGAGUUGUAAUCUAUAGAGGCGUUUUCCGCGCCGGACCGCGUCCAAGUCUCUUGGAAUAGAGUAUCAAAGAGGGUGACAAUCCCGUACUUGACGCGACAACCGGUGCUCUGUGAUACGUUCUCAAUGAGUCGAGUUGUUUGGGAAUGCAGCUCUAAAUGGGUGGUAAAUUCCAUCUAAGGCUAAAUAUUGGCGAGAGACCGAUAGCGAACAAGUACCGUGAGGGAAAGAUGAAAAGCACUUUGGAAAGAGAGUUAAACAGCACGUGAAAUUGUUAAAAGGGAAACGAUUGAAGUCAGUCGUGUGAAAGGUAUUCAGCCGUCUCUGGCGGUGUAUUUGCCUUUCACGGGUCAACAUCAGUUUGAUCCGGUAGAAAAAGGCGGGAGGAAGGUGGCACCCUCGGGUGUGUUAUAGCCUCCUGUCAUAUGUGCCGGACCAGACUGAGGAACGCAGCUUGCCGCAAGGCCGGGGUUCGCCCACGUACAAGCUUAGGAUGUUGACAUAAUGGCUUUAAACGACCCGUCUGA
rnacentral:rRNA from 1 species